CGAAAGAUUGAUUCAGUUACUUAUUAGAAUGAUAUAAUCUAAUUAUUUGUAAAAAAAAUAAUUUCAUAAUUAUAGAUUGAUUAAAAAUAAAAUUCAUAAAUAGUUAAAAUAAUGAUAUUAACUACCAUUAAUAUAUUAAUAAUGGAUAUAAUUUAUAAUAAAUUAUAUUUUAAUAGUCCUAACCAAAAUUUGUGCCAGCAGCUGCGGUAAUACAAUGAGGGCUAGCGUUAAUCAUAAUGGCUUAAAGGGUCCGUAGAAUCAUUUCAAAAAUUAGAGUUAAUAUAUUUAAUUAAAGAAUUAUAAUAGUAAAGAUGAAAUAAUUAUAAUAAUUAUAAGACUGGUAUAUGUGAAAAUAUUAAUUAAAUAUUAACUGACAUUGAGGGACGAAAGCUAGAGUAUCAAUACGGAUUCGAUACCCGAGUAGUUCUAGCUGUAAACUAUGAACACCAUAUAAAUAUAAUUUUAUUUAUAUAAAUGAAAAUGUAAGUGUUCCGCCUGAAGAGUACGUUCGCAAGAAUGAAACUCAAGACAAUAGACGGUUACAGACUUAAGCAGUGGAGCAU
rnacentral:rRNA from 1 species